AUUGAAUUAGGAAAUUAACCGUAGACAGUAGGUGCCAUAAGGCGUAACGGGAUACCAACCUACCGAGGUUUUAGAUAGGACUUUUAGGCCUCUCUAUGUCUACGGAGAGGCCUUUUAUAUUGUAAAA
rfam:Caloramator mitchellensis strain VF08 ABG79_contig000022, whole genome shotgun sequence.